CCCUUAGAUGUUCUGGGCGGCCCGCGCACUACAAUGGCGCUUUCAGCGAGUUCCUAUGUUGAAUUUUCCUUGGUAUUCUUGGAAGCGGCGUCUUGACUUGGGAUAGAUCCUUGUAAUUGUUGGUUUUGAACGAGGAAUUCCUUGUAAUCGCGGUUGAUCAGCUCGCGUUGAAUACGUCCCUGCCCUUUGUGCACACCGCCCGUCGCUCCUACCGAUGAAUCGUCCGGUGAAGUUCACAGAGUGGCGGUUCGUGGAGUUGCUCGCGAAGUGAAAUGGACCUCACGAUUUAGAGGAAGGAGAAGUCGUAACA
rnacentral:rRNA from 1 species